CACGUAGGGUGCGAGCGUUGUCCGGAAUUAUUGGGCGUAAAGAGCUCGUAGGCGGUGUGUCGCGUCGGCCGUGAAAACCUGCAGCUUAACUGUGGGCUUGCGGUCGAUACGGGCAUCACUGGAGUUCGGCAGGGGAGACUGGAAUUCCUGGUGUAGCGGUGAAAUGCGCAGAUAUCAGGAGGAACACCGGUGGCGAAGGCGGGUCUCUGGGCCGAUACUGACGCUGGAGGAAGCGAAAAGCCGUGGGGAGCGAACAGG
rnacentral:rRNA from 1 species